rnacentral:rRNA from 1 species
UACGAAGGGGGCUAGCGUUGCUCGGAAUCACUGGGCGUAAAGGGCGCGUAGGCGGCCAGCACAAGUCGGUUGUGAAAUCUCCGGGCUUAACUCGGAAAGGUCAACCGAUACUGUGCGGCUAGAGUGCGGCAGAGGGGGAUGGAAUUCCGCGUGUAGCAGUGAAAUGCGUAGAUAUGCGGAGGAACACCGAUGGCGAAGGCAAUCCCCUGGGCCUGCACUGACGCUCAUGCACGAAAGCGUGGGGAGCAAACAGG